ACCCUUUAAAUUUUGUUUGCUUUUAUCCAUUUAACUAUUCUUUUUAAAAUGAUGAGUUGAAUAUGUAAUAUAUGAGUAAUAUACUCAUAUUAUUUAUCCAUUUUGCAACUACGCAUAUGUUCGGUCCGCGAUAAGCUCCUUUAUCACUUAUAAGCCUUCAAGAUCGGUAAUAUACUGUUAAGUGAUUCUUGGUGAAUUCUAGGUUAGGUUGAGGAUGGUUUCGGUUAGCGCGUGGUUGAUUAUUUGCUCCAUAGAUUCCACCUCGAGGUAGGUUUGGCUAUCCCUCGUUUUAGACCGAGUUGAUCAGUAAUUAACUUGUUCUUAGCAAGUUUACUAUGAAAUGAGUAGUCGUAUGUGCCUUAGAAGUUGGUGAGUGUUGAUAUCCCUGUUUUAAUUCGGUUGAUGCCUUACUGUGAUGUUAGCUUGUGUGGAGGCUUAUGUGAUACUGUUAACUGAUGUGCAAAGUCUGUGAUUCUUUAGAAAAUUGCCCGAGUUAGGGGCUUGAGUUGACUUAUGAACAUAUUAUAAUGAAAGAAAUGAUUUCUAGUCGUAAAGACUGAUUUCAAAUGGAUUUCUCCACUAUCCAUAUCCUUUGAGAAUACCUGUCAUGACCUUUUGAUUUUGGGAAUUCGAUACUAUUUGCAAUUCUUAAUGAACUGAUUAUGCCUUGUGUUGUAUAUGUGUUGUGAUGCAUGCAACUUUACCAGUUUCAAAAAAAAAAGUAUGUGUUGUGAUGCAUUCCUCAUGAUGUAGCAUAUCAUUAUUUCAUGCAAAUAUGAAAAAGUGGAGAAGUACUGUCUUUUCAAGUAAAAAAUAUUGACACCUAACUUAUAUUAUUGACCACGCUGAGGUGGCAAGUUGCUUAUCUAACAAAGCAACUUGAAAAAAAUCUUAUGUUAUGCAUGAAGUGAGUUGAGCUUCAUGGAGAUCGUGCUGGCUGUGAUGAUCCAACCAUGGUGACUUACAUUGGGUGCAUUGAAGGUUGAAGUUAUCUCCUCAUUGGUCAUCAGACAGGUAGAAAAUACAAAAGAAAACAUCAUGUAAAACUUUGCAAUGCCAACUUCUCAUGGUUAUGCUUCAUUAAUUCUCAUUCGAAGCAAUAUUACUAAUUACUAUCAUUAAGCAUUCUAAGUAAUCUGCUCUGUGGUUAAUAAUAGAUCAAAUUGAAUUGAUGUUUUCAUUAAUUAAGCUGGAGUUGUUGCUCAUAGCCUCUGAACAUGUAAUUAAUAAUAGGUUAAAUUGAAUUGAUGUUUUCAUUAAUUAAGUUGAAGUUGAUGCUCAUAGCCUCUGAACAUGUUCCCAAUUUAAUUUUAUUGCUCCGUUAUCAGAUCAUUGGAGAGUGUAUGCAGCAUUCAGUUGUUUGAAAGGAAUGUUCUUCACUUUGACGUUCAAAUAUUGCAUUUGUUCAUUUAGAAUCUAUAAUCAUAAAGGCAUGUUUGGGCUGAAAGUUCCACAGUCCUAGCUAAUGAAGGUGGUUCAAGCAGAGUUCUUGUCAUUGGAUGUGGUUAAUGUUCAACAUUUUAUGUUACUAGGUAAGUUUGGUUCAUUUGUACUUCUUCCAUAUUUUUGCUACUUAUCAGGCAUGUAACAAUCUGAAGAAAAAAGAAAGCUCAUGGAUUUUUUAGUUGUUGCUUUUACACUUGUUGCAUUGUUUCCUUGAAUAUCUCCAUUUUUCUGUAUCUUUACAAAAUCUAUGCUUCUUUGAUCAGUCUUGUAGCUUGUGCUUCUAUAUUUUGUAAAUCUUUACAAGCAGGUCCAACCUUGUAGCUUGUGCUUCUAUAUUUUGUAAAUCUUUACAAGCAGGUCCAACCUCCAAAGAUACUAUAGUUGUUCAAGUUUGUGAAAAAGAUGGUUUAUCAGUACUAAAAUUCUGAUUGAAUAGGCAGCUGAUAGCUCAAGAACAUUAUAAACUUUGGAUAGCAGAUUCAAUUAUUCCAGUAAGUACCAUCUCUAUACUUAUUAAUUUGGUUUCGGAGUGGAAAAGAUUGGAACCUAUGGUAAAGGGUUGGUGAUGCCAAGUAGUGAGAAAGAAACAAUGUUUGGCUGGACUUUUAGAAGACGAAAGAAGAUGCAAAAGAUAAGAUUAUCGCUCCCUUGUCACUUAUGUUGACAAAUGUUUUUGAUGAAGUAGAGAAGAAUUUUACAUACUUGAAGAAUAGUUCCUCAUCCCCUAUUUAUUUUUUGUGCACCACAAGUUUCUUGCUUCUUACAUGUAUAGAAGAUUGGAUUUAUUUGUAAAUAUGCAUCUUUUGUAAGGUUGUCUAUAUUAUAUUUGAUAUUAUUCUUGUAA